rnacentral:rRNA from 1 species
GACGAACCGUCCUAACGUUGUUCGGAAUCACUGGGCUUAAAGGGCGCGUAGGCGGGCUGCCAAGUCAGGGGUGAAAUCUUUCGGCUCAACCGGAAAAGUGCUUUUGAUACUGGCAGUCUCGAGUGAGGUAGGGGCGCGUGGAACUAUUGGUGGAGCGGUGAAAUGCGUAGAUAUCAAUAGGAACGCCGGUGGCGAAAGCGACGCGCUGGACCUUUUCUGACGCUGAGGCGCGAAAGCCAGGGGAGCAAACGGG